rnacentral:rRNA from 1 species
GACGAACGCUGGCGGCGUGCCUAAUACAUGCAAGUAGAACGCUGAAGGAGGAGCUUGCUUCUCUGGAUGAGUUGCGAACGGGUGAGUAACGCGUAGGUAACCUGCCUGGUAGCGGGGGAUAACUAUUGGAAACGAUAGCUAAUACCGCAUAAUAUUGACUAUUGCAUGAUAGUCAGUUGAAAGGUGCAACUGCACCACUACCAGAUGGACCUGCGUUGGAUUAGCUAGUUGGUGGGGUAACGGCUCACCAAGGCGACGAUACAUAGCCGACCUGAGAGGGUGAUCGGCCACACUGGGACUGAGACACGGCCCAGACUCCUACGGGAGGCAGCAGUAGGGAAUCUUCGGCAAUGGACGGAAGUCUGACCGAGCAACGCCGCGUGAGUGAAGAAGGUUUUCGGAUCGUAAAGCUCUGUUGUAAGAGAAGAACGAGUGUGAGAGUGGAAAGCUCACACUGUGACGGUAUCUUACCAGAAAGGGACGGCUAACUACGUG